CGCCUCCCACGCAUCGGCAGCCCCGACACAGCACCCGGCCAGUGCCGCCGCCGCCUCCCACGCAUCGGCAGCCCCCACGCAGCGCCCGGCCAGUGAAAGAAGAGAUUCGCAGCCUCUAGCCCACGGUUCAUUGCACGGCCUUCAACUCCGGCAAUGUGGUUGCCUCGGCGCUGACAUUUGGCUCUGAUUUUGGGGCAUGGCCUUGGGUUCCAUCGCUCGCACACAGAAUCUCUGGGUCAGGCCAUCAACAGCCAAGUCAAGAGCUAAGUAUGGUUACACGUAUUGCUCAAUCCUUGCAAAUUUCUCAAUCCUAGCAAAGCCUUGGUUUCCCUCAAGACUUCUCGAACAUGACAGCUUGGUCCUGCCUGAAGGACUCACAUUUUAGGCAGAAUAAACGGAAGAAAGAUGAACACUGCAUGGUAGCUUCGAUUAUCGCGGCUUUGGAACCUUCUAAACGUAGGAGGGGUGGUUCGGUUCCAGGACAUAAAUUUAAGCGUUGCAAUAGAGAAGCAGCUUUUGCACAAAUCAUGAUGGAUUACUUUGUUGAUAAUCCUUUGUACAGCGAAGAGGACUUUCGGCGAUGAUUUAGAAUGAGGAAGUCCUUAUUCCUUGACAUGGUCCGCAAGAUUACCCAGAAGAAUUCUUAUUUUCUUCAACGUGAGAAUGCUUGCGGGCGCAAGGGUUUCCAUCCCAUUCAUAAAUGCGUUGUG